rnacentral:lncRNA from 9 species
GGGGAAGUUCCCGGCAAGAGAGCUGCGCUCUCCUGGGAAGCUGCGGGUUCUCGUACUCUUUCCAAGUGUGAUAAGCUUGCUAAAGAAGACUUCAACCUUUGUGCGUGUGUGACUGCAACUAUCGAUUUAAGUGAUCACCAGCUGCUUGUUGCCCUCCUGAGUGGACAAAGUCUACCUACAGAACCACUUGCAAGCCCUGGGAUUCAGCUUUGUCCCGCUGUUUCCAAAUUUGAGGUGCUCAAAUAUUGACUCCGAGGACCUUCCAUGCCAGAACCACCCAAGAUACCCUUAAGAGACAGCUCUCCUACCUCCUGGAAUGAGUGGGCUUUAUUUCGACUGGGGCCCCAUCCUAAGGUAACAGUCCCUUUUGAUCGCCUGCUGUCGUGUCUGGAGCCCAACUAUAUUCGCCAGCCUUUACAGAUGCGUUAGCAGAAUUGAAUGAAUAAUGUCUGAAAGCAUUUUGGAAGCAAUCAAACAUUAGAAAGUUGAUGAAUAGGUAUGGCAGUGUAUUUACUAAAGAGAUUGUAAAUGUCAGAAUUUAUCAGAGGACACUUGUUGGUUUUAAAGAUUUAUGUAAUAUUUAAAUGAAUUUUGGCACUUUUGGUAGGAGGGAUAGUUUUCUCGAAUUUUCAGAGCUUUCAGUGUGGGAAGCAAAGCAUUAGGGAAUUCUUUGAUUUCAAGGUUUUAAUAGCAGAGACAGGAGUGUGGCUUAUAUGAAUACCAGUUUAACAAGGGUUUAGUGGUCCUUUAAAAGACAAAGUUCUAGGACCAACUGUUUUAGUUUAUUAUAAAAAAUACCAAUCAUGAAAAACUGUGAGAAAUUAGUACUGUGGGGUCAGAGAAGUGGUCCUUGAAGAAAGAGCACUUGAGUUGACAUCUGAAAGACAGGAAGGCAUUAACCAGGGAGGAGACAGAUUUUUCAGAAAGUAAUGGGCAAAGCCUCUGUUGUCAGGGGAAGUGUGGUGUACCUGAAGACUAAACAAAUUCUGGCAUGUCCAGAGCGCAGAAUGAAAGGGAGAAUAGUGCGAGAUAGGGCUGGAAGGAGAGGCAGGGACAGGACAGUGGAGGCAUCCAGCAGGCUCUCUUAUAAGUCUUGAUCUUCAUCCUAAGAACAAGAGACAGUGUUGAAGUGUUAACAGGGCACAUGAUUCCUUGUUUCAAAAAGAUUACUCUGGCCGACUUUGGUUAGAGCACAUGUGGGGAGACCAGUCAAGGCUAUUGGAGUGGUUCAGGCGUGGGCCAGUGGUAGCUUGGAUUAGCAGAGGAGUGAGUGAAAGGGAAGCAGAUGGCUCUGGGAGUUCUGUAAAGGGUCAGAUGGACAGGAUGUAGUGUUGCCUUGUCUAGUGAAGGAAAAGCUUGGAACUUUUAUGUCCUGAGAUAAGAAACAUUGGAAGAGGGUCAUAGUUAUAUCUGGGACAUGUUGAGCCUACUGCUGCUGGUAACUGUCAGCCUCCUCAAUCUCAAUUCCAGUCCCCAUCCUACUGCUAGUUCUUACGCUUGCCGCUCACUCUCUUUAAUAGCUUUACUCUAGUAUUGCAUCGCCUACCAGUACCUAUAAUCAGUUGAUCUCUCAUGGUUUCAUGGCUUCUCACUCGUUUCUCAUCUCGUUGACCACAUUAAUCAAUUUCUCCUCCUUCCAUAGCAUUGUGAUAAUCAGCCCCUCACAUACAUGCUGGACUCCCUUGACCUCCUCUUGUUUCUUUCUGUCUUGGAAAAAACACAAUCCUAUUUAAAAUCAGUCCUCUACUUGCUGGGGAAAAACACAAAACCAUGCUGAAUGAGCUCAAUUUAUAUGAUCGUUAAUAUCGAGCAUAAGCUCUCCCACUGCCGCCCUGAGAGCCAGAAGCAAGCAGGAGAGAACAUCCACGAACUCCUACCACAUCUGCCCACCACUGACAGGUGUCUUUGUUGUGCCUUUUCUCCCCUUAUGACAAAGGAACUAAGUGCUAGCAAAGGCUGACCUCUUCCCUUGUGAUCCCAUCUCCUCCUAGGACGGACUGCCUGGCAGCAAGAGCAGAGCUCAGAAAUGCCCUCCUGUCUUUCUGCCACCAUCACUCUUCUCCUCCUCCAAAACCUUCUUCUGACCUCACUUUUCUCUCUGGCUGGUGUCUAUUUUCUUACCUUCUCUUCACAGUGAAUCUGCUCAAGUGAGUUGUUUGUGUUCACUGCCUCUGUUUUAUCUCCUGCAGUUUUAUCUCCACUUUGGGCAGACUUUCAGACUUGGUACUUUACUUACCCUGAAUGCAUCAAGGUCACUGUGACCUCCUUGUCAUUUUCCAUCCUUGUCUUAUUUGACCCGUUUGGAGCAUUUGAAGUCAACAUCAAAGAUCGGUUUGAUAGCGGAUUGCUCUUUCUGCCUUGAAAUUCUUUCUUCUCUUGGUUUCCAAGCAUUAUGCACUCUCUCAACUCGACUCUCAUCCUGUGGAUGCUCCUCCCAGUCUCCUUGGCUAGUUCUUCCUCACCUCCCUGUGUUCUUCGUGUUGAGUGUCCAGUUCUCACCUCCUAGACCUCUUCUCUGACUCCACUUCUGUAGUGAUCUUUUCCAGGCUCAUGGAUUUAAGUACCAUGUGGAGAAUAGAAGACGCCCCAGUAUUCCUCUCCAGCUUAGACCUCUCCCUGAGCUCUCUAGACUUAUAUAUGCAGCUGGUUACUUAAGAGCGCCUCUUGGAUGUCUAAUGCUGGUCUCAAAUUUAGUAUGUUCCCAAGUGAGUUUCUGCUCCUCCUUUUUCAACCUGCUCUUUCUGAAGUUUUCUCCAUCUAAGAAAAUGGAGGAGUUUCCUUGUGGCUCAGUGGUUUAAGGUUCCAGCGCUGUCACUGCUGUGGCUCUGGUUCCUUCUGGCCUGGGAACUUCUGCCUGCUGUGGGAACAGCCAAAAUAAAUAAAUGAAUAAAUAAAUAAGUAAGUAAAAGAAAAAAAGAAAAUGGAAGAGUCAUCUUUCCAGCUGCUCUGGUCAGAAACCUGGGAGUUAUCUUUGACUCCUCUUUUUUCUUCUCAAACCCUGUAUCCAAAACAUCAGCAAAUUCUCUUGGCUCUUCAAAAUAUAUACAGAAUCUGAUCACUUUUCACCAGUUUAACAGUGAUUUGGUCAGGGCCAUCAUAAUUAUCUAGCUGGAUUACUGCAGUGGCCUCCCUGCUUCUGCCUUCAUUCCCCAUUUGGUCUACUUCCUGCCCCAUGCUCAAAGUGGCACUUUUUUGGGGGGCAGGGGGGACCCUUGCCCAUUGCAUGUGGAAGUUCCUGGGCCAGGGAUCAAACCUUCACCACAACACUGACCUGAGCCACUGCAGUGAUAUCGCUGGGUCCUUAACCCACUGAACCACCAGGGAACUCUAGAGGAGAACUUUUUUUUUUUUUUUGUCUUUUUGCCAUUUCUUGGGCCACUCCCUCGGUAUAUGGAGGUUCCCAGGCUAGGGGUUGAAUUGGAGCUGUAGCUGCCAGCCUACGCCAGAGCCACAGCAACAUGGGAUCCGAGCCGCGUCUGCGACCUACACCACAACUCACAGCAACGCUGGAUCGUUAACCCACUGAGCAAGGGCAGGGAUUGAACCCUCAACCUCAUGGUUCCUAGUCGGAUUCAUUAACCACUGCGCCACGACGGGAACUCCUAGAGGAGCACUUUUAUAACAUAAGUCAGACUGUGUUAUUCUUCUACUCAGAACCCUCUAGUGUCUUCCCAUUUCUUCAGACUAAGAGCCAAAGUCCUUAGAGUUGCCUCUGAGGCCCAAUAUCAUAUAGCCCUCCUGUUAGCACUCUGAUUUUUCUCCCUGCUUGCUCCCUUGUUCUCCAGCCUCACCUCCGUGGCCUUACUCUGUUUCUGGAAGGUGCCGUGCAUGUGGCCACUUACAGGAUUUUGCAGUUUUUCUUCCCUCUGCUGAGAUGUCCCCUUUCAUUGCUUCUUUACCCUUUUCAGGCCUUUUGUCAAAUGUCACCCUCUCAGUGAAGCCUUACCUGAUCACACUAUUUAAAAUUCCUAUUUCUUCCCCACACUCCCUAUUUCCUUCUUCCACUUAGUUUUUCUCCAUAGGAUUUAUCAUAGUGAGAAAAAUCUGUUUUCAUAUAUUUGUGCUUUUGUUCCUCUUUCCCCAACGGGAAUGUAAGUGUGUUGAGAACAGGAACAUUGUUUGUUUUUUUGUUCACUGUUGUAGCAUCAGUUCCUAGAAUAGUACUCAACCUGUAGUAGAUUCUCAGUAUUUGUUGAAAGCAUGAAUUAGUGAACCCGAGUGCAUAUAGUCAAUGAGUCUGGAGCUCAGAGAAGAGGUCUUUCUUUCUUUCUUUCUCUUUUUCUUUCUUUCUUUCUUUCUUUCUUUCUUUCUUUCUUUCUUUCUUUCUUUCUUUCUUUCUUUCUUUCUUUCUUUCUUUCUCUCUCUCUCCCUUUCUUUCUUUCUUUCUUUCUUUCUUUCUUUCUUCUUUUUUUUCUUUUUAGGGCUGUACUCCUGACAUAUGAAAGUUCCCAGGUUAGGGGUCGAAUCAGAGCUACAGCUGCCGGCCUCCAUCACAGCCACAGCCACGCCAGAUCCGAGCCCUGUGGUGUAGGUCCCAGGUGCGGCUCAGACCCCACAUUGGUGUGGUUGUGAUGUAGGCUGACAGCUAUAGCUCCAAUUUGACGCCUGGGAACCUCCAUAUGCCACAGGUGCAGCCCUAAAGAAGACGAAAAGACAAAAAAAAAAAAAAAAAAAA